rnacentral:rRNA from 1 species
GAUUCUGGCUCAGGAUGAACGCUGGCGGCGUGCUUAACACAUGCAAGUCGAACGGAGUUAAGCGCUGAAUGAGGCUUCGGCGGAUUUCUUGCUUAACUUAGUGGCGGACGGGUGAGUAACGCGUGAGUAACCUGCCCCCGAGUGGGGAAUAACGUUCUGAAAAGGACGCUAAUACCGCAUAAUAUAUACUUGUCGCAUGGCAGGUAUAUCAAAGAUUUAUCGCUCGAGGAUGGACUCGCGUCCGAUUAGCUUGUUGGCGGGGUAACGGCCCACCAAGGCGACGAUCGGUUGCCGGACUGAGAGGUUGAACGGCCACAUUGGGACUGAGACACGGCCCAGACUCCUACGGGAGGCAGCAGUGGGGGAUAUUGCGCAAUGGGGGGAAACCCUGACGCAGCAACGCCGCGUGGAGGAUGACGGUUUUCGGAUUGUAAACUCCUUUUAUAAGGGACGAACUAAGACGGUACCUUAUGAAUAAGUUCCGGCUAACUACGUGCCAGCCGCUGC